rnacentral:rRNA from 1 species
CUAGAGUUUGAUCAUGGCUCAGAUUGAACGCUGGCGGCAGGCCUAACACAUGCAAGUCGAGCGGAAACGAUGGAAGCUUGCUUCCAGGCGUCGAGCGGCGGACGGGUGAGUAAUGCAUGGGAAUCUGCCCGAUAGUGGGGGAUAACCUGGGGAAACCCAGGCUAAUACCGCAUACGUCCUACGGGAGAAAGCAGGGGAUCUUCGGACCUUGCGCUAUCGGAUGAGCCCAUGUCGGAUUAGCUUGUUGGUGAGGUAAUGGCUCACCAAGGCGACGAUCCGUAGCUGGUCUGAGAGGAUGAUCAGCCACAUCGGGACUGAGACACGGCCCGAACUCCUACGGGAGGCAGCAGUGGGGAAUAUUGGACAAUGGGCGAAAGCCUGAUCCAGCCAUGCCGCGUGUGUGAAGAAGGCCCUCGGGUUGUAAAGCACUUUCAGUGGGGAAGAAAGCCUUGGGAUUAAUACUCCCGAGGAAGGACAUCACCC